GAAAUGCGAUAAUUAAUCUGAAUUGCAGAAUUCAGUGAAUCAUCGAGUCUUUGAACGCACAUUGCGCCCCCUGGUAUUCCGGGGGGCAUGCCUGUCCGAGCGUCAUUGCUGCCCUCAAGCACGGCUUGUGUGUUGGGCUUCCGUCCCUGGCAACGGGGACGGGCCCAAAAGGCAGUGGCGGCACCAUGUCUGGUCCUCGAGCGUAUGGGGCUUUGUCACCCGCUCCCGUAGGUCCAGCUGGCAGCUAGCCUCGCAACCAAUCUUUUUAACCAGGUUGACCUCGGAUCAGGUAGGGAUACCCGCUGAACUUAAGC
rnacentral:misc_RNA from 1 species